rnacentral:rRNA from 1 species
GUGAGGAAUAUUGGACAAUGGAUGGAAAUCUGAUCCAGCCAUGCCGCGUGCAGGAAGACGGCCCUAUGGGUUGUAAACUGCUUUUAUACGGGAGCAAUAAGGUCUAUGCAUAGAUUGAUGAGAGUACCGUAUGAAUAAGCAUCGGCUAACUCCGUGCCAGCAGCCGCGGUAAUACGGAGGAUGCGCGCGUUAUCCGGAUUUAUUGGGUUUAAAGGGUGCGUAGGCGGCUUUGUAAGUCAGCGGUGAAAUUUUGCAGCUUAACUGUAAAAGCGCCGUUGAUACUGUGAAGCUAGGAUUUGGUUGCUGUGGGCGGAAUGUGUGGUGUAGCGGUGAAAUGCAUAGAGAUCACACAGAAUAUCGAUUGCGAAGGCAGCUCACAAAGCCAAUAUUGACGCUGAGGCACGAAAGUGUGGGGAUCAAACAGGAUUAGAUACCCCGGUAGUCC